rnacentral:rRNA from 1 species
GUCUAUGGCCAUACCACCCUGAUCCGGGAAGCUAAGUAGGGUCAGGCCUGGCCAUUACUUGGAUGAGAGACCACUUGAGACUACAAGAUGCUGUAGUUU